rnacentral:rRNA from 1 species
AGGAAAAGAAACCAACAGGGAUUGCCUCAGUAACGGCGAGUGAAGCGGCAAGAGCUCAAAUUUGAAAGCUGGCUCCUUCGGGGCCCGCAUUGUAAUUUGCAGAGGAUGCUUCGGGAGCGGCCCCCAUCUAAGUGCCCUGGAACGGGCCGUCAUAGAGGGUGAGAAUCCCGUCUGGGAUGGGGUGCCCGCGCCCGUGUGAAGCUCCUUCGACGAGUCGAGUUGUUUGGGAAUGCAGCUCUAAAUGGGUGGUAAAUUUCAUCUAAAGCUAAAUACUGGCCGGAGACCGAUAGCGCACAAGUAGAGUGAUCGAAAGAUGAAAAGCACUUUGAAAAGAGAGUUAAACAGCACGUGAAAUUGUUGAAAGGGAAGCGCUUGCGACCAGACUCGCCCGCGGGGUUCAGCCGGCAUUCGUGCCGGUGUACUUCCCCGCGGGCGGGCCAGCGUCGGUUUGGGCGGCCGGUCAAAGGCCCUCGGAAUGUAACGCCCCCCGGGGCGUCUUAUAGCCGAGGGUGCCAUGCGGCCAGCCCGGACCGAGGAACGCGCUUCGGCUCGGACGCUGGCAUAAUGGUCGUAAGCGACCCGUCUUGAAACACGGACCAAGGAGUCUAACAUCUACGCGAGUGUUCGGGUGUCAAACCCGUGCGCGCAGUGAAAGCGAACGGAGGUGGGAACCCCCCGGGGUGCACCAUCGACCGAUCCUGAUGUCUUCGGAUGGAUUUGAGUAAGAGCGUAGCUGUUGGGACCCGAAAGAUGGUGAACUAUGCCUGAAUAGGGCGAAGCCAGAGGAAACUCUGGUGGAGGCUCGCAGCGGUUCUGACGUGCAAAUCGAUCGUCAAAUUUGGGUAUAGGG